rnacentral:lncRNA from 1 species
CAUUGAUACUAUUAGUAUUCAAUCUACAGACUAUUAAAAUGCCACCCACUGUCCCACCAAUGUGCUAUAUCAUAAUCCAAAGUCCUAGUGGUGGUUUACAAGGCCCUACAUGGUCCACCUCCCAGUUACCUCUCCAGAUUUAACUCUUAUCUCUUCUCCUGCCCAUCCUCCCUUGCUGCUCUUUCUGCUGGAUGACUUUUCCUCAGGUGCUUUCCUUGCUCACCCCACACCUCCUUCAAGGCUUUCCUGAAAUGUCAUCUCCUCAAGGCUUUCCUUGAGCAUCCUACUUAGUAUUUCAAUGCUACCUUACUCCUUGCAUUCUCUAUUUCACUGGUUUGUAUAUUUUUUAAAAUAUUUUUUAGACAUUGAUGGGCCCUUAUUUUGUUCAUUUAUUUAUAUGUGGUGCUGAGAAUCAAAAUCAGUGCCUCACACAUGCUAGGCAAGCACUCUACCACUGAGCCACAACCCCAGCUCCAUGGUUUGUGUAUUUUUAAGCCUUGGUCCACAAUAUUGAAUACAUUUAUUUGACAUCAUUACUCAAGUAUGCACACAAGUAUACACACAUAUGUAAAAAACUGAAACAAAAAAUUCCAAAACAAAGCUUACUAUUGCCAUGUGCAAGCACUUGAUGUUUUCUUUUAAAAAAAUUUAUUUUGAUUAGUUAUACAUGACAGUAGAUGCAUUGUGAUACAUUGUACACAAAUGGAGCAUAACUUCUCAUUCCUCUGGCCCUACAUGGUGCUGAGUCACACCAGUAGUGUAAUCAUACAA